CCGUGAUGUCAUUUCCGCUAGGGGCGGCUCUAUCGGAAUGACGUAUCUGCUGAAUAUUCAUGAGGCUCAUGAAUAAUUGACUGUCGGCGGAUUGACAGCGUUUCCCGCUGCCGAGCGACAGGGCGCGGCCCCAUGCGCUGCCCGGCGGGCUCGGUGCCGGGCUGGGGGAGCGGCCCGCGGAGCAGCCUGGGCCGGGCUGUGCGUCCCGCAGGAGGGAAGGGCCCUGAGGGAGCCCGUGAGCCAAGCACUGGUGCCAACGUGCCCCCGGUCACGGCCCUGCAGCUGCUCCCUGCCUGUGCCGGCAGCGCCGCCCCUAGGGCUGCGGGGACUCCUGCAGCGGUUCGGCUGAGCGCCUGGUCAUUCUGGCGUGACACCGCCCAAUAUACACCCUGAGCUGGGCCCAGGCCCUGUGUACGGGCCAGAGGGCUGGACUGAGGGACGGGGACUAUCCUCGCUCCCUGCGCCUCUUCCCUGCCUGCACUUGAUCCUCUUCUGUUGGUUGUCUGGGUACGCAGGGACCUUGGGGCCCGAGGGCUUCAUGUGCUGGACAGGGAAGAUGCUGCACGGAGCCAGCGUGGGGGCUAUAGCCAUAUCGCUGGGGGCCGCUAUGUCAUUGCACUCCAUAAUGUGUUAUAGAAAUAUGCACAUGACUGUAAAUAUGAUGUAACUGGAAUAUGCUUUAUGCAAAAGGUCUCUUGUAAGGUAUCAUUACAAAGCUUAUAAUCUACUAAGUGUGUUCCUCCUGUUUGUAUGCAUGUAUCAUUCUUGUAACUGAAGCUAGAAAUAUAAAGUAUAACGCUGAGGUUCUAUUGUAAUUAUGCAAAGCUUGGGCCAUUGAUGAUGGUUUAAAAUCUUGAUGGCUCCCAUUAACUAGGACAAUUGGUUGUAAAUGGCUCUGUUUACUUGCAAACCUUCCUGUGUUCCUGUAAGCCAGCCCAGGAAGAACGGUGGAAUCCAUCUUAAACUUGGUGCUCUUCCAUUUAGAAGGAGGGGUGGGGAUCCAGACAGACAAAAUAUGCCCACCUUAUGCCAGAGCUAUAAAAGGGGGUGGAAGAGAACAAAGGAGGAUCCCAGUCAUGGAAGAAAAAAACCCUGCUUUUCACCUAAGAUGCCUGCUGGAACUAACAAGGACUGUACAAGGGGAAAGGAUUGGGCCAGACUAGGAAGGAGUCUGUGAAAGAAGCUCAUUGGAACAUCUCUGAGGCAAACAAGCAGGACUUCAAGGGCUCCAACCCUUGUGGAAUGGUUGGAAGAACUUUGGAUUGCUAGAGCCCUAUCAGACUGCUGGUUAGUAACCUCUGUUCAACCCUGAAGGUGACAUUGCUCCCUCUGUGCCAGGACCCAGCAAGUGAGUUAGGAUCUUAGGGGCCCAAAUCUUAUCUUUGUGCAGAGGGGCUGGAGCAAGGUACUCCUGCCUACCCUCCUUACUAUGCUUCAGGCCAGACGCACAUCCCCAGCCCCUGCUAUACCAGACUGGGGACUCUCCACUCCCCUGCCAAGGAAGGGAUGAGAUUGAAAGUCAAUUGCAGGGGGAGGGCUGUCACAAGCUGAGCAGCUGGGUUGCCCUAUGAAAAUGCUUCGUUCCAGACAAAUUCAUUU